GAUGAACGCUGGCGGCGUGCCUAACACAUGCAAGUCGAGCGAACAGACGAGGCUUUUGCUCCUUUGACGUUAGCGGCGGACGGGUGAGUAACACGUGUGUAACCUACCUAUAUGACUGGGAUCACUUCGGGAAACCGGAGCUUACACCGGAUAAUAUUUCGAACCGCAUGGUUCGAUAGUGAAAGAUGGCUCUGCUAUCACUUAUAGAUGGACCUGCGCUGUAUUAGCUAGUUGGUAGGGAUACGGCUUACCAAGGCAACGAUACGUAGACGACCUGACAGGGUGGUAGGCCACACGGGAAGUGAACCACGGUCAAGGCUCCUAAGGGAGGGAGCAGUAGGGAAUCUUCGGCAAUGGGGGGAAGCCUGGCGGAACAACGCCGCGUGAGAGAUAGAAGUCUUCCGAUCGUAAAACUCUGUUAUGAGGGGAGAACAGACGUGUAAGUAACUGUGCACGGCUUGACGGUAACUAAUAAAAAAGCCACGGCUAACUACGUG
rnacentral:rRNA from 1 species